GACGAACGCUGGCGGCGUGCUUAACACAUGCAAGUCGAACGGAAAGGCCCUGCUUUUGUGGGGUGCUCGAGUGGCGAACGGGUGAGUAACACGUGAGUAACCUGCCCUUGACUUUGGGAUAACUUCAGGAAACUGGGGCUAAUACCGGAUAGGAGCUCCUGCUGCAUGGUGGGGGUUGGAAAGUUUCGGCGGUUGGUGAUGGACUCGCGGCUUAUCAGCUUGUUUGUGGGGUAGUGGCUUACCAAGGCUUUGACGGGUAGCCGGCCUGAGAGGGUGACCGGGCAAAUUGGGAAUGAGAUACGGCCCAGAAGCCAACGGGAGGCAGCAGUGGGGAAUAUUGCACAAUGGGCGGAAGCCUGAUGCAGAAACGCCGCGUGCGGGAUGACGGCCUUCGGGUUGUAAACAGAUUUCGAAUGUGACGAAGCGUGAGUGACGGUAAUGGGUAAAGAAGCACCGGCUAACUACGUG
rnacentral:rRNA from 1 species